rnacentral:lncRNA from 1 species
CUUUCGGCGGAGUCCUCCUUCGGAAUGAGCCAGCGCUGAAGGGGGUAGUGGACCCUGGGAAAAAAUGCGCCUCCCUGGUGGCCUGAGCCUACAGACCUGCUCCGACUUACAGGGUACUGGAAGUUCAGUACCCUCUCUUACUAGGUAUCCAGUGGACUUCCCAACAAAACAGCAACUUGAUGGGACAAGAGGAGGCCUCCUGGGACUACAUCUAGCACCAAGGUUCUUGUCAUCCUGAAAAGAGAAUUGGACAAGAAAACAUGCAAAAGAGUCCAAGGGCCAAAUCCAGACCAGUUUUUUUAAAAAAGAAUGUGGCCCAGAGAUAAGUGAAGGUCAGCUUCACUCUAGAAGAGUCAGAGAGAGGGGGAAACCCGCAGCCCUAGAACGUCUGUCUUGGAAUGCAGUAGCCACAAAGAGAACUGCUUGAAGUACGAGAACCAAAUCUCAGCCAUCUCAAGGGCAGAAAGACAACUAAGACCAGAAGCUUUCUGAGGGUGCAUCUCCAGUCUUUUGCAAAACAUGCCUCCAAAGACAAAAGCUAUGAUUGAUUUCAGUCACAUUGUCA